rnacentral:tRNA from 1 species
GGCCUGUUCGUCAAGCGGUUAAGACACCGCCCUUUCACGGCGGGUUCGCGGGUUCGAUUCCCGCACAGGUCACCA